rnacentral:rRNA from 1 species
AGCGAACGCUGGCGGCGUGCUUAACACAUGCAAGUCGAGCGAAGGUGUUUCAAGGGUAACCUUGAGAUACACUUAGCGGCGGACGGGUGAGUAAUACGUGGAUAACUUACCUCUAGGCCUGGGAUAACCCCGGGAAACUGGGGCUAAUACCUGAUAAGACCACAUUGUCUACGGACAAAGGGGUAAAAGGUGGCUGUGCAAACAGCUAUCGCCAAAAGAUAGGUUCACGUCCCAUCAGGCAGUUGCGAGUAAUGGCUCACAACCAAAGACGGUAGCGGCCUUGGCGGGUGAACGGCCACACGGGGACUGAGACACGGCCCCGACUCCUACGGGAGGC